rnacentral:rRNA from 1 species
UUUAAAAAGCGUCAAAGCUUUGUCUUUAAUUUUUUAAAUUCAACCUAAUAUUAUUAACCCAUUAUCAGUAUUGAAUAACUUCAUAAAUUAUGAAAAAUACUAUGUUAGAACUAGUAACAAGAAAAUGAAUUUCUCCAAAGUGUAAACAUAAACCAAAAUGGACAGCCCAUUGGUAAUUAACGACCUUGAACUCACUAUAACAAAACAACUAGAAAACUUUAUAUUUUAAUGUCGUUAACCUUACACAAGAACUCUUCUGGAAAGAUUAAAAGGAAGAGAAGGAACUCGGCAAAUUUUAACCCCGCCUGUUUACCAAAAACAUCGCCUUUUGCAUAAAUAUAAAAGGUCCCGCCUGCCCACUGUUUUUAAAAAUCAACGGCCGCGUGAUUUAAACGCGCUAAGGUAGCAUAAUAAUUUGUUCUUUAAAUGAGGACUUGUAUCAAUGGCAUCACGAGGGUUAUACUGUCUCCUCUCCCCAAUCAGUGAAACUAAUCUCCCUGUGAAAAAGCAGGAAUAAACCUAUAAGACGAGAAGACCCCAUGGAGCUUAAAACAUAGUAGCAACCAUGAUAACAUAUCAACAUAAUUUUUAGCCAUGUAUACUAGUUUUAGGUUGGGGUGACCACGGAGUAAAAUAAAGCCUCCACGACGAAAAGAGUAUGCACUUUUAUCUAAGAGAUACUUCUCUAAGAAUUAUUAAAAUAACGUUUAAUGAUCCGACUAUCGACCAACGGACCAAGUUACCCUGGGGAUAACAGCGCAAUCCACUCUGAAAGCUCCUAUCGACGAGUGGGCUUACGACCUCGAUGUUGGAUCAGGGUGUCCCAGUGGUGCAGCCGCUACUAAAGGUUUGUUUGUUCAACAAUUAAAACCCUACGUGAUCUG